UAUAACGUCCCAGAACACUCCAGCUCACAUGUUAGUCUGCUCCAAGCAUUUCCACAAAGGAAAACCAGCCUACAAAAUGCAGGAAUGCGAUGCAGACUGGGCACCUCUAUCAGCCUGGGUCAGACCGAGUUUAAAGCUGCUACCACAGCCAGAUUUGAUCGGUUAAGAGAGAGAGCGACAU